GAUGAACGCUGGCGGCGUGCCUAAUACAUGCAAGUCGAGCGAACAGACGAGGAGCUUGCUCCUCUGACGUUAGCGGCGGACGGGUGAGUAACACGUGGAUAACCUACCUAUAAGACUGGGAUAACUUCGGGAAACCGGAGCUAAUACCGGAUAAUAUAUUGAACCGCAUGGUUCAAUAGUGAAAGACGGUUUUGCUGUCACUUAUAGAUGGAUCCGCGCCGCAUUAGCUAGUUGGUAAGGUAACGGCUUACCAAGGCAACGAUGCGUAGCCGACCUGAGAGGGUGAUCGGCGACACUGGAACUGAGACACGGUCCAGACUCCUACGGGAGGCAGCAGUAGGGAAUCUUCCGCAAUGGGCGAAAGCCUGACGGAGCAACGCCGCGUGAGUGAUGAAGGUCUUCGGAUCGUAAAACUCUGUUAUUAGUGAAGAACAAAUGUGUAAGUAACUAUGCCCGUCUUGACGGUACCUAAUCAGAAAGCCACGGCUAACUACGUG
rnacentral:rRNA from 1 species